AGCACCAGAUGGAUGGAAGUAGAGAGAAGGAGAAGUUUCUCUUUCUAACCCAUCGAGAAAGUUUUUGGUAUGCCUGCUCUUCGAUUCUUUCUUCUUCAAAACACAGAGAAGAUCCAUUUCCCCUCCUUUCCUAAGAAAAAACAACACCAUUCUCUUAAUAACAAAAUCAGACCCUAUCUUCCCCUUGACCCCAAGAAGAACAGAAAAAGGAAAAACAAAAAAAAAAAAGAGAAAAACGAAAGGAAAAUCAUAAAGAAGGUGCGAAUUGCUGAUUUUUGCUGAAGCCGAGCUUUAAUUUGUAGAUCUCGUCUGGAUUCACUUGCUAUCAAGCCGUUUUGUAGAUCGUGGUUGUACACCUUUCAUGGAGGUUCUGCUCCCUUUAAUUUAAAAGAUAGACGCUCCAAAAGGUCAUUCUUAUUCCUCUCUUUGUAGUGUUUCUGUGUUUUUGCUUAACUGAUGCUUGAUGUUAAAAAAAUGUAUUUAUUUGGUAGUCCAUUUCUCAAACCCCUAAAGUUAAAUCUUAAUUUUACAGUUUAAUUUGUACUAGCUUGAGAUUGUGCUCUGGUAUGUUUUCUUUUGGUUUAAAACUCCGGCGUCUUUGGAUUUGAGGUUUCGAAUACCAUGCAUAUUUGUUUAGGAAAUACUUUAAAUAUUCAUGAUUUAUUGUUUCCCCUCUUUUGUUUGAUGUGAAUAGGCUGGUGUCGUUAACUUUUCCCUUUUUGUGCAAAGUAUGUGAGUCAGUUUAAGCUUUUGCAAUCGAGGAGUAUCAUCACUGUUGCAACUUUUUAGCUGGAAAAAAACAAGAAAGGCACAAAUACAAAUUCAACGGGUUGAAAUAGGCCUAAAUCCUUAUUUGGUUACAUUUAUCUAAAAUAGGAUAUGAGUUAUAUGGAACCAAAACCCAUUUAUAUUCUCUCCCCAGUUGCAUUAUGUGAUGUCUUUUGGUUGCAGAAGUCAUAAAUAAUCCUGUGGCACGGUUGAUAUAUGGGAGUGCAAGACCUUAGCUACUUUUUAAUUUGACACAAAACCGACAACCUAUGUUUUUAACAAUUCCCUAUUUUGUUUUCCCUAGCUAAAUUGUCUAAAUGAUAUAGUUGGUAAACAUAUUUUGUGUUCAAAUUCUGAUGCCUUAUUUG
rnacentral:lncRNA from 1 species